rnacentral:rRNA from 1 species
GAUGAACGCUGGCGGCGUGCCUAAUACAUGCAAGUCGAGCGAACAGACGAGGAGCUUGCUCCUCUGACGUUAGCGGCGGACGGGUGAGUAACACGUGGAUAACCUACCUAUAAGACUGGGAUAACUUCGGGAAACCGGAGCUAAUACCGGAUAAUAUAUUGAACCGCAUGGUUCAAUAGUGAAAGACGGUUUUGCUGUCACUUAUAGAUGGAUCCGCGCCGCAUUAGCUAGUUGGUAAGGUAACGGCUUACCAAGGCAACGAUGCGUAGCCGACCUGAGAGGGUGAUCGGCCACACUGGAACUGAGACACGGUCCAGACUCCUACGGGAGGCAGCAGUAGGGAAUCUUCGGCAAUGGACGAAAGUCUGACCGAGCAACGCCACGUGAGUGAAGAAGGUUUUCGGAUCGUAAAACUCUGUUGAUAGAGAAGAACAAGGACGUUAGUAACUGAACGUCCCCUGACGGUAUCUAACCAGAAAGCCACGGCUAACUACGUG